UACGGGGGGUGCGAGCGUUGUCCGGAAUCACUGGGCGUAAAGGGCGCGUAGGUGGCGUGAUAAGGGUGUGGUGAAAGCCCGGGGCUCAACCCCGGGUCUGCCAUGCCGACUGUCAGGCUAGAGUACUGUAGGGGCAGGCGGAAUUCCGGGUGUAGCGGUGGAAUGCGCAGAUAUCAGGAGGAACACCGGUGGCGAAGGCGGGUCUCUGGGCCGAUACUGACGCUGAGGAGCGAAAGCGUGGGGAGCAAACAGG
rnacentral:rRNA from 1 species